AAGGGUGAGGAAUAGAUAGGAACGUACCCUGUGCUCUGGGAUAGCGUCUGAAGCUUCGGCUUCUUCCGAAAGGGGCGGUAAUACCAGAUAAUGUCCUUCGGGACCAAAGAUUUAUCGGCAUUGGAGCGGCCUAUCUCCUAUCAGCUUGUUGGUGAGGUAACGGCUCACCAAGGCAACGACGGGUAGCGGGACUGAGAGGUUGGCCCGCCACAUCGGGACUGAGACACUGCCCGGACCUCCACGGAGGGCUGCAGUAACGGAUAUUGGGCAAUGGGCGAAAGCCUGACCCAGCAAUGCCGCGUGCAGGAUGAAGCCCCUAGGGGUGUAAACUGCUGUCAGGGGUCAGAAAGCUGGUUUCGGCCAGUUGAUCAACCCCAGAGGAAGUCACGGCUAACUUCGUGCCAGCAGCCGCGGUAAUACGAAGGUGGCAAGCGUUAUUCGGAAUCAUUGGGCUUAAAGGGCACGCAGGCGGAAUAGUGUGUGUUGUGUGAAAUCCCCCGGCUUAACCGGGGAAUUGCACAGCAAACUGCUGUUCUUGAGGCAGGUAGGGGUGCAUGGAACUCUUGGUGGAGCGGUGGAAUGCGUAGAUAUCAAGAGGAACGCCAGAGGUGAAGACGGUGCACUGGGCCUGUCCUGACGCUGAGGUGCGAAAGCGUGGGGAGCGAACGGGAUUAGAUACCCCGGUAGUCCACGCCGUAAACGAUGUCUACUAGGUCGUGGGUGUUUUGACACAUUCACGGCUGGAGCAAAAGUGUUUAGUAGUCUGCCUGGGGAGUACGGCCGCAAGGUUAUAACUCAAAUGAAUUGACGGGGGCUCAUACAAGCGGUGGAGCAUGUGGAUUAAUUCGAAGCAACGCGCAGAUCCUUACCUGGGUUUGACAUGCUUGUAUGCGUUCUCUGAAAGGAGUUAGGCUGCCUUCGGGUGAAACUUGCACAGGUGCUGCAUGGCUGUAGUCAGCUCGUGUCGUGAGAUGUCGGGUUAAGUCCUUUAACGAGCGAAACCCUUGCCGUUAGUUGCCAGCGAGGUAAUGUCGGGGACUCUAACGGGACCGCCGGUGUUAAACCGGAGGAAGGUGGGGAUGACGUCAAGUCCUCAUGGCCUUUAUGCCCAGGGCUUCACACGUGCUACAAUGGCAAUUA
rnacentral:rRNA from 1 species